rnacentral:rRNA from 1 species
UGGUAGUNCACGCCGUAAACGAUGAGUGCUAGGUGUUAGGCCCUUUCCGGGGCUUAGUGCCGGAGCUAACGCAAUAAGCANUCCGCCUGGGGAGUACGACCGCAAGGUUGAAACUCAAAGGAAUUGACGGGGGCCCGCACAAGCGGUGGAGCAUGUGGUUUAAUUCGAAGCAACGCGAAGAACCUUACCAGGUCUUGACAUCCCGAUGCUAUUCUUAGAGAUAGGAAGUUACUUCGGUACAUCGGAGACAGGUGGUGCAUGGUUGUCGUCAGCUCAUGUCGUGAGAUGUUGGGUUAANNNNNNCAACGAGCGCAACCCUUAUUGUUAGUUGCCAUCAUUAAGUUGGGCACUCUAGCGAGACUGCCGGUAAUAAACCGGAGGAAGGUGGGGAUGACGUCAAAUCAUCAUGCCCCUUAUGACCUGGGCUACACACGUGCUACAAUGGUCGGUACAACGAGUUGCGAGCCGGUGACGGCAAGCUAAUCUCUGAAAGCCGAUCUCAGUUCGGAUUGGAGGCUGCAACUCGCCUCCAUGAAGUCGGAAUCGCUAGUAAUCGCGGAUCAGCACGCCGCGGUGAAUACGUUCCCGGGCCUNGU